AGGACAUAUUGCUGCAGCAUCACGGUCCGGGGCCAGGCCUCGGCGAUUUUGAGUUCAUUUCAAAUAUUUACGUGAAACCUCGAUCACACCCAGCGAUAACACCUCGGACCUCAAAGGAGGACGAAAACACAGCACUCUACAUCAAUGUUUUUACAGAUGCACAAGACUGAAGACAUUUUGUACGACCUCGAUUAUGGGAAGAUGACCACCAAAAGCUUCGAAAUAGUGUCACUCUUCCUGUCUCGCCUCCAAAGAAAGUCUAAUCGGGUUUAACAUUUACGGUCUGGUCACCAUAGACUCGUCGAUAAUACCUGGGU